rnacentral:rRNA from 1 species
CCUACGGGAGACAGCAGUGGGGAAUAUUGGGCAAUGGAGGCAACUCUGACCCAGCAACGCCGCGUGAAUGAUGAAGGUCUUCGGAUUGUAAAGUUCUGUGAUGGGGGAUGAACACAAUGACGGUACCCCAAUAGCAAGCCACGGCUAACUACGUGCCAGCAGCUGCGGUAAUACGGAGGUGGCAAGCGUUAUCCGGAAUGACUGGGCGUAAAGGGUGCGUAGGGGGUUUAGUAAGUUGGCGGUGUAAUUCCGGGGCUCAACCUCGGCGCUACCGCCAAAACUAUUAGACUAGAGUGCAGGAGGGGUAAGUGGAAUUCCUAGUGUAGCGGUAGAAUGCGUAGAUAUUAGGAGGAACAUCAGGGGCGAAGGCGACUUACUGGACUGUAACUGACACUGAGGCACGAAAGCGUGGGGAGCAAACAGGAUUAGAUACCCCAGUAGUC